rnacentral:rRNA from 1 species
CGACGACGGGUAGCCGGCCUGAGAGGGCGACCGGCCACACUGGGACUGAGACACGGCCCAGACUCCUACGGGAGGCAGCAGUGGGGAAUAUUGCACAAUGGGCGAAAGCCUGAUGCAGCGACGCCGCGUGAGGGAUGACGGCCUUCGGGUUGUAAACCUCUUUCAGCAGGGAAGAAGCGAAAGUGACGGUACCUGCAGAAGAAGCGCCGGCUAACUACGUGCCAGCAGCCGCGGUAAUACGUAGGGCGCAAGCGUUGUCCGGAAUUAUUGGGCGUAAAGAGCUCGUAGGCGGCUUGUCACGUCGGGUGUGAAAGCCCGGGGCUUAACCCCGGGUCUGCAUUCGAUACGGGCUAGCUAGAGUGUGGUAGGGGAGAUCGGAAUUCCUGGUGUAGCGGUGAAAUGCGCAGAUAUCAGGAGGAACACCGGUGGCGAAGGCGGAUCUCUGGGCCAUUACUGACGCUGAGGAGCGAAAGCGUGGGGAGCGAACAGGAUUAGAUACCCUGGUAGUCCACGCCGUAAACGGUGGGAACUAGGUGUUGGCGACAUUCCACGUCGUCGGUGCCGCAGCUAACGCAUUAA